GAUGAACGCUAGCGGCAGGCUUAACACAUGCAAGUCGAGGGGUAUAGGUUUUCGGACCUAGAGACCGGCGCACGGGUGCGUAACGCGUAUGCAAUCUACCUUUCACAGAGGGAUAGCCCAGAGAAAUUUGGAUUAAUACCUCAUAGUAUAGCAGUUUCGCAUGAAACCACUAUUAAAGUAUCAACGGUGAAAGAUGAGCAUGCGUCCCAUUAGCUAGAUGGUAAGGUAACGGCUUACCAUGGCUACGAUGGGUAGGGGUCCUGGGAGGGAGAUCCCCCACACUGGUACUGAGACACGGACCAGACUCCUACGGGAGGCAGCAGUGAGGAACAUUGGUCAAUGGACGCAAGUCUGAACCAGCCAUGCCGCGUGCAGGAUGACGGUCCUAUGGAUUGUAAACCGCUUUUGUACGAGAAGAAACAACAUUACGUGUAAUGUCUUGACGGUAUCGUAAGAAUAAGGAUCGGCUAACUCCGUGCCAGCCGCCGCGGUAAUAC
rnacentral:rRNA from 1 species